rnacentral:rRNA from 1 species
AUCGCAACGGUUGCGACCCCAGGUCAGGCGGGGCUACCCGCUGAGUUU